rnacentral:misc_RNA from 1 species
UGCAUCUUAUGAUGAAGAUCCUAAACUCAUCUCAUCUCUCUCACCAGAUUUAUUGGGUGUUGCAGAAAGCAAGUUGCAUUCAUAUAUACCUGUGCCAGGAUCCAUCAAUAUGUACUGGUUUCCACCAGACAAAGCUUCAAGUUUCUCGUCCGGAUUUGAUAUACGCUGCGGAAGAUUGCGUGUUCUUGGAUUCGAUAUCUAUCCAUUUCAGAAGACUUUCCAUUUAUCAGAAUCAGAAUCCUCUUACAACUUACUGGAGUUACUGUCAGGACCACUACUUAUAGCACGAGAAAGCAAAAUGUUCGAACCCCAAUUUCUUAAUAUAAUGCAUGCACUUCAGAUGGUGCAGUUCUAUCUCUGGAAGUUCUCCAAUUUAAAGACAAAAGUCGAAGGAACGUCUCCAAAUAUAACUCCGACUUCCCAGACACAAAAAACAGAAAUAGAUCAUCUGAAAUCUGUGUUUCUGAAGGAUCUUCAACUCGCAGAACGCUUCUUUGGCCACUCGAAAACUAUCAAGGACAUGGAGUAUGAAUUUGAUUGGGAUACUUUUUCAGCUGCAGUUCUUGAAUGGGAAUGUUAUGUUUUAA